GACGAACGCUGGCGGCGUGCUUAACACAUGCAAGUCGAACGGUGAAGCGCCUUCCUUUUUGGUGGGUGUGGAUGAGUGGCGAACGGGUGAGUAACACGUGAGUAACCUGCCCCCUUCUUCAGGAUAACCGCAUGAAAGUGUGGCUAAUACGGGAUAUUCUGGUUCUGUCGCAUGAUGGGUCUGGGAAAGAUGUUGGUUCGGUGGGGGAUGGGCUGGCGGCCGAUCAGGUUGUUGGGGGGGUGAUGGCCUUCCAAGGCGGGGGCGGGUAGCCGGCUUGGGCGGGUGGACGGCCACACUGGGACUGAGACCCGGCCGAGACUCCGACGGGGGGCAGCAGUGGGGAAUAUGGAACAAUGGGCGCAAGUCUGAUGCAGCGACGCCGCGGGAGGGAUGGAGGCCUUCGGGUUGUGAACCUCUUUCGCCAGUGAAGCAGGCCUGCCUCGUUUGUGGGUGGGUUGACGGUAGCUGGAUAAGAAGCGCCGGCUAACUACGUG
rnacentral:rRNA from 1 species